rnacentral:rRNA from 1 species
GAUGAACGCUGGCGGCGUGCCUAAUACAUGCAAGUCGAGCGAACGGACGAGAAGCUUGCUUCUCUGAUGUUAGCGGCGGACGGGCGAGUAACACGUGGAUAACCUACCUAUAAGACCGGGAUAACUUCGGGAAACCGGAGCUAAUACCGGAUGAUAUUUUGAACCGCAUGGUUCAAAAGUGAAAGACGGUCUUGCUGUCACUUAUAGAUGGAUCCGCGCUGCAUUAGCUAGUUGGUAAGGUAACGGCUUACCAAGGCAACGAUGCAUAGCCGACCUGAGAGGGUGAUCGGCCACACUGGAACUGAGACACGGUCCAGACUCCUACGGGAGGCAGCAGUAGGGAAUCUUCCGCAAUGGGCGAAAGCCUGACGGAGCAACGCCGCGUGAGUGAUGAAGGUCUUCGGAUCGUAAAACUCUGUUAUUAGGGAAGAACAUAUGUGUAAGUAACUGUGCACAUCUUGACGGUACCUAAUCAGAAAGCCACGGCUAACUACGUG